CUGAAUUGAAGAGAAAAACAAUUAAUUUUCCAAGAAUUAAGUGCUUUCAAUAGAUGAAAGUAGAAGAGGGUAAACAAAACCAUUAAGUCUGAAAUUCCAUAUCUUAAAAACACAGAAAUUAUCCAGAUCAACGAAAAUUUAAACCAAAGCACAGCUAUUUUAUUUGAUUCAAAGGGCCAUAGCAUCUGAAUCCACAAACUGGUUAUUUGAAAACUCAAAAAGAGCCCCAAGAAUCAUAAAGAUAUGGGAGAGGUUAUAGGAAAAGUUAUACUUUUUGAGAGAGAAGUUGUAUAUUUUGUGAGACGAAAAUUACAAUUUUUGUGAUGAAAGUUAUGAAUUUUGAAGUUAUAAUGAGCACCUAAAAGUUAUGUAUAACUAAAGAAUACUUUUUGUGAGAGAAGUUAUAUAUUUUCUGAGAAGCAAAAAAGUUAUAUUUAUAGUGAAGAAAAAAAGUUAUACAAAAUGAAGUUAUGUUUUUUGCAUAAGGUGCAUACGAUCACAUCAUAGCAUUCUCCUAAAGGGAUUUCAAGAAUUCUCCAACCUAUUUUGAAAUAUGUGGCUAUGGAAACAAAAUACACACUUCACAUAUUUUGAAGUACACAGUAUAAAAUUUUCAUCUGUGCCUCAAUCCAAGGAAUCCAAGCAGUUUCAGUGAUUCACAAGAUUAGCAAAAGCUUCAAUCAAGUUUUCCUCAACAAACCAAAAAAGACAAUAUGGAAACCAUACAGUAACACAAAGAAA